rnacentral:rRNA from 1 species
CGGGGCCAGGAGUCCUCACCCAGGCCGAUAUGUCUGGGUAUCUUGGAUACCCAUUCGGGAUGGGAUAGACCAUUACAUUUUUUGACUCAACACGGGGAAACUCACCAGGUCCCGACAAAAUAAGGAUUGACAGAUUGAGAGCUCUUUCUUGAUCUUUUGGAUGGUGGUGCAUGGCCGUUUUUAGUUGGUGGAGUGAUUUGUCUGAUUAAUUGCGAUAACGAACGAGACCUCGGCCCUUAAAUAGCCCGGUCCGCAUCUGCGGGCCGCUGGCUUCUUAGGGGGACUAUCGGCUCAAGCCGAUGGAAGUGCGCGGCAAUAACAGGUUUGUGAUGCCCUUAGAUGUUUUGGGCCGCACGCGCGCUACACUGACAGGGCCAGCGAGUACAUCACCUUGGCCGAGAGGUCCGGGUAAUCUUGUAAACCCUACAGCCGUGACCG